rnacentral:rRNA from 1 species
AGCGUAGACGGUGUGGCAAGUCUGAUGUGAAAGGCAUGGGCCCAACCCUGUGGACUGCAUUGGUAAACUGUCAUACUUGAGUGCCGGAGGGGUAAGCGGAAUUCCUAGUGUAGCGGUGAAAUGCGUAGAUAUUAGGAGGAACACCAGUGGCGAAGGCGGCUUACUGGACGGUAACUGACGUUGAGGCUCGAAAGCGUGGGGAGCAAAC